ensembl:rRNA 5S_rRNA 5S ribosomal RNA
GCUUACGGCCAUACCACCCUGAGAACGCCAGAUCUCGUCUGAUCUCGGAAGCUAAGCAGGGUCGGGCCUGGUUAGUACUUCGAUGGGAGACCCCCUGGGAAUACCAGGUGCUGUAAGCU